UACAGAGGUCUCAAGCGUUGUUCGGAUUCAUUGGGCGUAAAGGGUGCGUAGGUGGGUCUGUAAGUCAGUGGUGAAAUCUCCGGGCUUAACCCGGAAACUGCCAUUGAUACUAUAGGUCUUGAAUAUCCUGGAGGUGAGCGGAAUAUGUCAUGUAGCGGUGAAAUGCUUAGAUAUGACAUAGAACACCAAUUGCGAAGGCAGCUCACUACGGGAUUAUUGACACUGAGGCACGAAAGCGUGGGGAUCAAACAGG
rnacentral:rRNA from 1 species